CACUCCUACGGGAGGCAGCAGUGGGGAAUAUUGGACAAUGGGCGCAAGCCUGAUCCAGCCAUGCCGCGUGAGUGAUGAAGGCCCUAGGGUUGUAAAGCUCUUUCACCGGUGAAGAUAAUGACGGUAACCGGAGAAGAAGCCCCGGCUAACUUCGUGCCAGCAGCCGCGGUAAUACGAAGGGGGCUAGCGUUGUUCGGAUUUACUGGGCGUAAAGCGCACGUAGGCGGACUAUUAAGUCAGGGGUGAAAUCCCGGGGCUCAACCCCGGAACUGCCUUUGAUACUGGUAGUCUUGAGUUCGAGAGAGGUGAGUGGAAUUCCGAGUGUAGAGGUGAAAUUCGUAGAUAUUCGGAGGAACACCAGUGGCGAAGGCGGCUCACUGGCUCGAUACUGACGCUGAGGUGCGAAAGCGUGGGGAGCAAACAGGAUUAGAAACCCAAGUAGUCC
rnacentral:rRNA from 1 species